rnacentral:rRNA from 1 species
GGGAGCAAACAGGAUUAGAUACCCUGGUAGUCCACGCCGUAAACGAUGUCUACUUGGAGGUUGUGGCCUUGAGCCGUGGCUUUCGGAGCUAACGCGUUAAGUAGACCGCCUGGGGAGUACGGUCGCAAGAUUAAAACUCAAAUGAAUUGACGGGGGCCCGCACAAGCGGUGGAGCAUGUGGUUUAAUUCGAUGCAACGCGAAGAACCUUACCUACUCUUGACAUCCAGAGAACUUUCCAGAGAUGGAUUGGUGCCUUCGGGAACUCUGAGACAGGUGCUGCAUGGCUGUCGUCAGCUCGUGUUGUGAAAUGUUGGGUUAAGUCCCGCAACGAGCGCAACCCUUAUCCUUGUUUGCCAGCACUUCGGGUGGGAACUCCAGGGAGACUGCCGGUGAUAAACCGGAGGAAGGUGGGGACGACGUCAAGUCAUCAUGGCCCUUACGAGUAGGGCUACACACGUGCUACAAUGGCGCAUACAGAGGGCGGCCAACUUGCGAGAGUGAGCGAAUCCCAAAAAGUGCGUCGUAGUCCGGAUCGGAGUCUGCAACUCGACUCCGUGAAGUCGGAAUCGCUAGUAAUCGUGGAUCAGAAUGCCACGGUGAAUACGUUCCCGGGCCUUGUACACACC